rnacentral:sRNA from 1 species
UAUGUCAAAAUUCAAGGCAGUAUCUACAGC